UCCCUGGUGGUCCAGUAGCUGAGACUCCGUGCUCUGAAUGCAGGGGGCCCAGGUUCAAUCCCUGGUUGGGGAA
rfam:TPA: Bos taurus chromosome 21, whole genome shotgun sequence.